rnacentral:rRNA from 1 species
AGUGAACGUUGGCGGCGUGGAUUAGGCAUGCAAGUCGAGCGAGAACCGUAGCAAUACGGGGACAGCGGCGAAGGGGACAGUAAUGUGUAGGUACCUACCUCCGGGUUCGGGAUAGCUGCGGGAAACUGCAGGUAAUACCGAAUAACGUCUCCGGACCAAAGGUGUGAUUCCACCUGGAGAGGGGCCUGCAUCCUAUUAGCUUGUUGGCGGGGUAACGGCCCACCAAGGCGACGAUGGGUAGCGGGUGUGAGAGCACGACCCGCGUCAUGGGGGCUGAGCCACUGCGCAGACACCUACGGGUGGCUGCAGUCGAGAAUCUUCGGCAAUGGGCGCAAGCCUGACCGAGCGAAGCCGCGGGCGGGAUGAAGGCCUUCGGGUUGUAAACCGCUGUCGUAGAGGAGGAAAUGCAGGGGGGUUCUCCCCUCUGUUUGACCUAUUCUAGGAGGAAGUACGGGCUAAGUUCGUGCCAGCCGCCGCAGUAA